AGGGUGGCCUUUGGAGAGCGGGGAGGGGCCGCCCUGCUCCCAGUGGCAGUGACAGUGCCUUGGGCCCGAUGGGCAGCCAGGCGGCUGCCAAGAGAGUCGGAAUCAGGCCUCACUGGCACCUGGGCCUCCUCCCCUGCUCCUGGGCCUCCUCCCCUGCUCCUGGGCUCCUUCCCUGCUCCUGGGCCUCCUCCCCUCCUCCUGGGCCUCCUCCCCUCCUCCUGGGCCUCCUCCC